AACGAACGCUGGCGGCAUGCCUAACACAUGCAAGUCGAACGCGUGUAGCAAUACACGAGUGGCGGACGGGUGAGUAACGCGUGGGAACCUGCCCAAUGGUAGGGAAUAACUGCGGGAAACUGCAGCUAAUACCCUAUGCUCCCUACGGGGGAAAGAUUUAUCGCCAUUGGAGGGGCCCGCGUCGGAUUAGCUAGUUGGCGGGGUAACGGCCCACCAAGGCUACGAUCCGUAGCUGGUUUGAGAGGAUGAUCAGCCGCACUGGGACUGAGAUACGGCCCAGACUCCUACGGGAGGCAGCAGUGGGGAAUAUUGGACAAUGGGGGAAACCCUGAUCCAGCAAUGCCGCGUGAGUGAAGAGGGCCGUUAGGGUUGUAAAGCUCUUUCGGCGGGACGAUGGUGACGGUACCCGCAGAAGAACG
rnacentral:rRNA from 1 species